rnacentral:rRNA from 1 species
GACGAACGCUGGCGGCGGGCCUAAUACAUGCAAGUCGAACGAGUGGAGGACGGGUGAGUCGUGUCUGGGGUUCUGCCGGAGGGAGGGGGAUAACUACUGGCAACGGUAGCUAAUACCGCUUACCAUCAGAGGAACCCAUAGGGGAUUAGCUUGUAGGUGAGGUAACGGCUCACCUAGGCGCCGAUCCCUAGCUGGUCUGCGAGGAUGACAAGCCACACGGGAACGGAGACACGGCCCAGACUCCUACGGGAGGCAGCAGUGGGGAAUAUUGCACAAUGGGCGCAAGCCUGAUGCAGCCAUGCCGCGUGUAUGAAGAAGGCCUUCGGGUUGUAAAGUACUUUCAGUCGGGAGGCGUUACCGACAGAAGAAGCACCGGCUAACUCCGUGCCAGCCGCCGCGGUAAUAC